rnacentral:rRNA from 1 species
CACUAGCCAAUGACGGGUAUGGGCCUUGAGAGAGGGAGCCCAGAGAUGGAUUCUGAGACACGAAUCCAGGCCCUACGGGGCGCAGCAGUCGCGAAAACUUCACAAUGGGGGCAACCCCGAUGAGGGAAUUCCUAGUGCUAGCACAUUAGUGUUAGCUUUUCUUUAGCGUAGAUAACUAGAGGAAUAAGGGCUGGGUAAGACGGGUGCCAGCCGCCGCGGUAAUACCCGCAGCCCAAGUGGUGGUCGAUUUUAUUGAGUCUAAAACGUUCGUAGCCGGUUUGAUAAAUCUUUGGGUAAAUCGGAAAGCUUAACUUUCCGACUUCCGAGGAGACUGUCAAACUUGGGACCGGGAGAGGCAAGAGGUACUUGGGGGGUAGGGGUAAAAUCCUGUAAUCCUUCAAGGACCACCGGUGGCGAAGGCGUCUUGCUAGAACGGAUCCGACGGUGAGGGACGAAGCCCUGGGUCGCAAACGGGAUUAGAUACCCCGGUAGUCCAGGGUGUAAACGCUGCAGACUUGGUGUUGGGGACCCUUUGGGGGUGUUCAGUGCCGGAGAGAAGUUGUUAAGUCUGCUACUUGGGGAGUACGUCCGCAAGGAUGAAACUUAAAGGAAUUGGCGGGGGAGCACCGCAACGGGAGGA